AGAAGAUAAGUGUGUGUCUGAGGGUGUGUACAGGGAGAAAAGUGGACCAGGUAGUUAGAGGGACUACUUGGCCUCCACUACGACUGUGGUGAGUGCUGCAUGGUCCUCCAAAGCACAAGUAACCCUGGGAGCCACACAACAGCAAACACAUAUUUACAUAAGCAAACAUAAAGUAAAACGGUAGCCAAAAGAGUCAAGUUUUAUGGACCAUUUGGAAAUCACUUAAACCUUGGUGAGGAAAAAGUAGCAAAUGUCCCAUAAAAAAUCAAACCCUCAUUAUUUUACCCAUGGCAGCAGUAGGCUUUCUUGGUGGGGCCUGCUGGGCAGCCUCAGUGGUGCAAGCAAGCAUUUGAUACUGGUACAUAAAUACACAUGCUUUCAUUACUUGAUAAGGUCAGAAACAGACACAAUGAAGUCUCAUAUUAUGCAUGAUUUCUGGGCUUCUUCAUCUAUUUUUUUUUUACAUCAAAGGAUGCAGCUCAAGGGCAACAAAAAGAGUACGAAGAAAAAAAGAAAAAGCCUGCUACUCGCCGCUCCCACAAAAGUAAAAAGUAAAGAGUAGCCAAAAACAAGGUCAAUUUUGGGUGGAGAAGUGUCUUGAUACACUUCUUGAAAAAGGUCAAGUCAUAGGCAGGAGGAAAUGCAGACAAAGGAAGACUGUUCCAGAGUUUACCAGUGAAGGGGAUGGAAGAAUGCAGAUGCUGGUUAACUUUUGCAUAAGGGGUUUGGACAGUACAGAGAUGAGCAUGAGUAGAAAGUCAUGUGCAGCGGGGCAGUGGGAGGGGGGCAUGCAGUUAGCAAGUUCAGAAGAGCAGUCACCAUGAAAAUAUCGAUAGAGGAUAGAAAGAGAGGCAACAUGGCUGCGGAAUUUAAGAGGUAGAAGACUUUCAGCAUGAGGAGGAGAACAGAUGAGACGAAGAGCCUUAGACUCCACUCUGUCCAGAAGAGCUGUGUGAGUGGAGCCCCCCGACACGUGAGAUGCAUACUCCAUACGAGGGCGGACAAGGCCCCUAUAUAUGGAAAGCAUCUGUGCGGGGUAGAAGAAUUGGCGGAGACGAUACAGAACGCCCAACCUCGAGGAAGCUGAUUUAGUAAGAGAGGAGAUGUGAAGUUUCCAGUUGAGAUUUUGAGCUAAGGAUAGACCGAGGAUAUUUAGUGUUGAAGGUGACAGCUGGGUGUUGUCGAAGAAUAGGGGAUGGGUGUUUGGAAGAUUGUGUCGAAUUGAUAGGUGGAGAAACUGGGAUUUUGAGGCACUGAAGGACACAAGGUUCCUUUUACCCCAAUUGGAAGUGAUAGCAAGGUCUAAGGUUAAGCGUUCUGCAGCCUCCAGUCUGGAGGCUUGUAAUUCCUGUUGAAAGGGUCUUCUGUUGAAAGAAGUUGAAUAAUGCGGAGUGGAGUCAUCAGCGUAUGAGUGGAUAGGACAGUUUGUUAUGGAAAGAUCAUAGAUGAAUAACAGGAAGAGAGUGGGUGAUAGAACGGAACACCACUGUUGAUAGAUUUAGGGUAAGAACAGUGACCGUCUACCACAGCAGAGAUAGAACGGCCGGAAAGGAAACUGAAGAUAAAGGAACAGAGAGAGGGAUAGAAUCCAAAAGAGGGCAGUUUAGAAAGCAAAGACUUGUGCCAGACUUUAUCGAAAGCUUUCGAGGAUAAGACCAGAAAAUUCAUGUAGGGCUGAAUAACAACAGAUUACUGUACUUAUAUAAAUCAAUAUGGAAAAUAAGAAGGCCACAUGAGAGGCUUAAUGGACAGGGCCGGAUUUGCCAAUAGGCAACAUAGGCCAUUGGCCUAGGGCCCACUGGUAACUGAGGGCCCACUGGGGUCCUGGGGACUUAAGUUGUGGUGGCCCAAUGAGAGAGAGAGAGAGAGAGAGAGAGAGAGAGAGAGAGAAUAAUGUUCGUUAACCUUCAGCACCUUGACCAAAAAUCCACAUUCAUCAACUUUUGUGUGUCAUAUUCAUUCCACAAAAAUUAAAUUUACUGACUCACAAUGCAGGUUGCUCUUUUGAAACUGCCGCAGUCACCAGACUCGUACUGUGUGUGGCAGGGUUGCCAUGUUUGUCCUUUUAAGGACAGUCUGUCCUUUUUUGAGCCUGUUUGUCCUUAAGUUUUCUUGAAAAAAGGACAGUCAAAAUCUCUCUCACACACACACGCACACAAACAACACACACACAAUAUAAAUAUAUAUAUAUAUAUAUAUAUAUAUAUAUAUAUAUAUAUAUAUAUAUAUAUAUAUAUAUAUAUAUAUAUA